CGUGCGACGUUCUGGGCCGCGCCGGAGGGGAGUCGCAGGGAGCGCUCGGCGGCGCAGGGGCCGCGCCCGAAGAGUGACGGGAGUCUAGGACUGGAAGGGACCUCGGGGCCAGGCCCCUGCUCUGGGCAGGAAAGCGGGCUGGGUCAAAUAACCCCAGCAAGGGAAAAUCCUUCCACUCUUUGAAAAGGACACACUCCAAGAUCAAAAUUUACACAAGGACGCUUCAAUCCACCAACAAAGAAAAUACAAAACUGACAAGAAGAAAUCCUCACUAAGGGUCCAAUUCUGAAAGGUGCUUAGCAUCCUGUGCUUCCACUGGCUCUACUGAAACUAGGCAUGUUUUAAAAAAAAAACUUGUGUUGACCUGCAAAUAUUUCUAGAUAGACAGUAUCAGAUAAGUAAUGUCAUUCAAUGUCAAAGUGAAAUAUAAAUUGUUUAAGGUCUUUUAUCCAAAAAAUAAAGUACACUGCAUUUUUUAAACUAUAUUCAAGACCCUAACCCUUUUGUUACUUAGACCAAAUAAAAGGUAAUUCCUUA